rnacentral:lncRNA from 1 species
UUCCUCUUUUUUUUUUUAGGUAGAAAGCAGUCUUUUGGGAAAGAGGGCUAUAGGAGGUCUGCCUAAGGCACCUAACAAAGAACGAAUCGCAAGCUGUCAGAGAAACUGGUUGAAUGCUCCCUCUUUCCCACUUAAGAAAGACUAAAAUAUGUUAAAAAUUAUAGUAGAUCGAACCACUGUGCAAACUGUUCUUGGGAGUAAGUGGUAUAAACAUGCUGAGGCAAUUCCUCCCCUGUGAUUCCUACAAGAUUUAGAAGAAGCAGGUCUGAAUCCAGAGUUACUGAUCAGAGUUACCCUCCUGAUGGCACUGCAGAAACCAGGCAGAUUCACAAGGAGGAGGACAGAGGGGGCAUGUCUAGCAAGAAAGGAGCUGUUCUAAUGGAGAAUUUGCUCUUUUACUGAAAGUAUUUUCUUGUUCAUCUCAUUUGAAAUUGAUGUUUACUAACAGCAUAAGCAGCCAACCUUUGGUCUUCUGUGCUUGAGGUAAGGUAUGCUUUUUCUUUUGUUAUUAAGACAUGGAAUCAGGCAGUCCUUUUGAGCUCCUAAGUAACAAAUGGUUUGCCUUUUUGGCAAAUUGAGACCUCAGAAGGAUGGUCAUGUACUUGCACUUUUUCUGAUGAACUGAAAGUACUUUGCAAUAGUUAGAGCGU